rnacentral:tRNA from 1 species
GAGGGUAUAGCUUAAGUGUGAGCACAUGCUUAGCAUGCAUGAGGUCCUGGGUUCAACUCCCCAGUACCUCCU